CUUUAUUUGAAUUUCAAAGUCACAGUUAAUUCCUCCCAAAGUAAUAGACAGAUACCAUCUGAGCCAUAAUUGCGAAUUUUGUUUUUCCUGAAAACACCCAUCAAAGGCAGACAGUUGCCCCAAGCAGUACGGGAGAGAGUGUUUGGGAAAUGUGGAGAGAUUUGGAAAAGUUUAGGUGUAGAUAACAUCUGAGCUAAUUGUAAAGCAUUGUGAACAGGCAUUACUUGAAUAAGAAAAGGUGGGAAGAAGCUUCAGAAGGAGGGUCACUCAACAGAUACUUCCUACAUUCUGUUCAGAGAUUUCUUAGGAAGCAUUAAGUUUGGUUGUUCACACAUACCCAAAUGGCUUUGACCCUGGCCUUAUUGGUUGUAUUCUGCCCAGCAGCUCAUUGAAAGGAGGCAUUAGAUAUCUGGAGGAUGACAGCACUUCUGUUUCCUUGGGGAAAUUAUGCACCAGGAUUCUGAGGAGGUCAGUGUUACCCCGUCCCCACCUGGCCGGCUGGCACUCCCCGGCUAGGUGAUCAGAACUGAUUUCGAAGAAUGACCUUCAGCACAGAUGAGGUGAGUCAUUGCCCUGUCUGCCUGAGAAGAGCUCUGGCAAAGAAUUUAGGCUCUUCCCAUUUGUGGGAGAGCAGUUUCCUUUUAAGUUCAGAAUGCUUUAUGAAUUAACUGCGUGUGAGAGAGAAAGACAGAGGAAGAAGAAGAGAGAGGGCGGGAAAGAGGGAACGGGGGAGAAGAGAGGAAGAGGAACUUGGGCUCUGCCACAAUCCUUCGGAUGAGGAGCAUCACGUUGAGGCUACGCACCCUGGCUUUAGUCUUCCCUGGACGGCUGCUAGGAGGAAUUGGCCCUCAAGAGAGUUUGGUUCCUACCUCGGUACUGCAGUCAGCAGCUGGGAAUCCUUGAUGAAACCAUUUACUUGGCCAAAGCUGAGUUUUCUCAUCUGUAAAAUGAGACAGACACAACAAGUUUUUCAUGUCUUUUUGUGAGUAUUAAAUGAAAUAGUAUUUGUAUUUCAAUUGCUACACCCUCUGCGAGGCUCAUAAUAACUGUUCAACAUAAGACAGUUGAUUAUUGGAUGAUUGAUUUGGUUUUUUAAAAAUGUUAUUGAUUUUUACCUACACCCCUUCUCAUCACUGAGUCAAGUAGGAAAUGCCACCGAUUUCUUUUUGUUUUUAAUUCUGAUUGGAUUUAAUACAAAAGCACAAGAAUAUAAUAGAUAUGAAAUUGCAGCCACAUUUCAUAAAAAUGUAAAUGAAUAGCUAUAAUGGCAUACCUUUCUCACAGAUACUUAGCUAGUAUCAGCACCUCCAGAAUUUCAUCCUCAUUCUGUGCAUGGCACUUCCCAAUCCUGCGUGUUUUAUCUUGGGAUAAAUAGUUUCUCAGGGCUUGUCUGAUACCCUAGGAAGUUUUGCAGGAAGUGAUUUACUAGCCUUUCUUUUGCAACAACUAACUACUCUAAUAACCAAUAUGCAAAGAACCACUUAUAACAUCUCGAAGAAAAGACUCCUAUUUACCCAUUUUAAUAUGCUGAUCUUACUUUUAUAAUUCUCU
rnacentral:lncRNA from 1 species